GACGAAGGAUGCAAGCGUUAUCCGGAUUCAUUGGGUUUAAAGGGAGCGUAGGUGGCCUUAUAAGUCAGUGGUGAAAUCUCUGGGCUUAACCCAGAAAUUGCCAUUGAUACUGUAGGGCUUGAGUACAGUUGCUGUGGGCGGAAUAUGACAUGUAGUGGUGAAAUACAUAGAGAUGUCAUAGAACACCAUUGCGAAGGCAGCUCACAAAACUGUAACUGACACUGAGGCUCGAAAGUGCGGGGAUCAAACAGG
rnacentral:rRNA from 1 species